CUCCUCUGAGGGUCGCACCUGGAAAGUUUCCAGUAUUCUACCAGUCUCGGCUAGGGGAGGGGAAGUCAAGCAGACACAUACCCAUUCCAUUCCUAGCUUGGGCAGUGACUAGUGAGUGGAAGGCAGUCUGCUACAAGU